GAUGAACGCUGGCGGCGUGCCUAAUACAUGCAAGUAGAACGCUGAAGGAGGAGCUUGCUCUUCUGGAUGAGUUGCGAACGGGUGAGUAACGCGUAGGUAACCUGCCUGGUAGCGGGGGAUAACUAUUGGAAACGAUAGCUAAUACCGCAUGACAACAGUUAUUGCAUGAUAACUGUUUAAAAGGGGCAACUGCUCCACUACCAGAUGGCCCUGCGUUGUAUUAGCUAGUUGGUGAGGUAACGGCUCAACAAGGCGACGAUACAUAGCCGACCUGAGAGGGGGGUCGGCCACACUGGGACUGAGAAAAGGCCCAGACUCCUACGGGGGGCAGCAGUAGGGAAUCUUCGGAAAUGGACGGAAGUCUGACCGAGCAACGCCGCGUGAGGGAAGAAGGGUUUCGGAUCGUAAAGCUCGGUUGUAAGAGAAGAACGAGUGUGAGAGUGGAAAGUUCACACUGUGACGGUAUCUUAACAGAAAGGGACGGCUAACUACGUG
rnacentral:rRNA from 1 species